CGCUCCGGCGCAGCGCCGGCUUCCACGCCGAGGACGAGGGCCAGUCGUCCAGUUCUCCGGGAGGCCGAGGAGAGCGGCGCUGGACCGGAGCCCAAGCAGCCGACCCCGACGCCGUCGCGAUAAGGGAGAGGAAAGGAAGCCCCUGACUCAAGGCAAGGGGCGGCCAAGCCGGCCGAUCCCGCCCAUGGGGCACAGCAGCCCACAGCGGAGGCAGAGCCACGGAAGAGGAAGCCGUCGGUGUUGCUGUUCCUGGCGUGCUCCGUGGCGUUCAUCGCACUCGCCGUGGCGGUCAUCCUGGUGUACACCUUCGGCAGCCCCGCUACGGCGAGGCGCCUCAAGAGCCCGCGCUUCUGCGGCGACGUGCCUUCCUGGAGGACGAACCGCCUCAAGAAUGACUUCAUGAAGUGCUCGGAAGAGUCCUGCUCCAAGAUCGUGUGCGGACCGAUCAACGACACUUGGUGCCUGACUGGGGCUCCGCCAUUCGAGAACAAGUGCGAGUGCUGCGACUGGUGCAUCGUCCGAGACCUCGUCUGCGGCAAGCGGGCUCGGGUGAGCAGCGGCUCCAAUCCGUACGCUUCCUG
rnacentral:lncRNA from 1 species